AUGAUGAGGAACCGGAUGUUGAUCCAUAUGUACAGCAGACAUCAACGGGAACCGCUCCGUCACGCCGUGCUCCAAAAAGGAAGAGACUGGUUUCACCUAUACAAGAAGAAGAAGAGUUUGAUGAGGAGGAGUCAGAAGAAGAUGAUGAAAUGGAAGUACCACAAGAUGUUGAAUAUGACGGGGAGACAGAUGAGGAUGAAUCAGAGGAGGAGGACAAAGAGGAGGAUGACAAAGAAGAAGAAGAAGAUGAGGAGGAGGAGGAGGAGGAGGAAGAGGAGGAGGAGGACAAAGAAAAAGAGGACAAAUGAGAGGAGGAGGGCAAGGAAGAAGAUAGCGAGGCAGAGGAGGAGGAACAAAAAAAUGAGGCCAAAGAAGGAGAUGGAGACAAACCUGCAGCAAUCAAUGGUAGUGAGGGGGAAGGAGAUGACGAGGAAAAAGACGAGGAUGCCAAUCCUGAUGAUCAAGAGGGAUCCAAUGGAGGCAGUGACAGUUUCGAUGAUGAUGAUGACAAUGCCCCUGGUUCUGGUGGUAUAG
rnacentral:rRNA from 1 species